rnacentral:misc_RNA from 1 species
UUAGGGAGACCUACCCACUCUAAUGACCGAAAGCAAAGUGCGACUAAGUCAAGAGCUGGUCAACCAAGGUCGGUCGAGAAAUGAGAUGUCGGCUUUCAAACUAUUUCAGGUUUUUCCAUUGCAUCAUGCAGAUGAAAUGGCAUUACGAGUCAGAAAAGCAAGAACUUCUCAAGUUGGAUAAUUGCAGCAACUUAUCUAGAGCAUUGGUCAACCGAAAAAUCAAUGUGUUAAUUAAUCUAGAGAGCUUGCUGGAAUGAAGACCAGCAAGAACCUUGAAAAUUGCAUAGCAAUAACUGUCAGGUAGAAACAGUGAACAACGUUUUGUGAACGUCAACAUGAAUGUUUUCAUGAACGACAAAAUACACAGCAUUGAACACUGAAACACAGACACCAAUGUAGAAAAGA